GUUCAGCGGGAGCGGUAGUGAAAUACGUUGUGGCGUCGAAUUUCUGUUAGUUUAGUAAUUUUUCUUCCAAAAGACUUUUAUCGGCAAGUAACAAAGCUUGCGCGGAUUUCCGCAUGGUGGCUAAGUGGGAUUUGAAAUGGCGGCAUUUCCUAGUUGAAAUAAUUCGCCUUGACCUUAAUACUUUACACAGUUGAACUAAUAUUUAUUUAACAAGAGUCCGUGCAUAUUUUCCUUCAUGGCCUACAUGCAGAACACUUAUGCGUCACCUACAGUAUUUAUUCCAUGCACCGCCUCUCUGGUACACGAGUCAACCCUUAAUUUAUACCCAGCCGACAUCAAGUAGUAUCUUCCCGCGAGGACAGCGAUCGUGGCGGUGUCAGGAAAUCGACAAAUCGUAGAAAGAAUAAAGCAACGGAGAAAGGAAGAGAAGGAAGGUCUAAAGGAGGAUAAAAGGAGUCGCGUCAUUGCUGGCCAGGGCUUAAGUGAUCGAUGGCGUCGGCCGUUAUCUUCGCCACCCCCGCCUGGCUGCCGUGGUAAUUCAUCAUCUCGGUCUGUUUUUCACUUACUUUAUAUGCAACAUAUUCCGUAAUUUUUAUUCAGUCAACCGGCCGCCCCGAGUAGCAACCCCUAACCGUGGGCCAGCUCGUAAAACAACGAGCUGCCUCCUCGGUCCAACGGACCAUCCACCGACAACCAAAAAGAGAAGGGUGCCUCGGGGUGGCUGAAAGACGACGUAGGACGUAAGAAAGGGCGCCGCGGUGCUCGC